rnacentral:rRNA from 1 species
ACUCCUACGGGAGGCAGCAGUGGGGAAUAUUGGACAAUGGGCGCAAGCCUGAUCCAGCCACGCCGCGUGGGUGAAGAAGGCCUUCGGGUUGUAAAGCCCUUUUGUCCGGAAAGAAAAGCACUGGAUUAAUACUUCGGUGUUCUGACGGUACCGGAAGAAUAAGCACCGGCUAACUUCGUGCCAGCAGCCGCGGUAAUACGAAGGGUGCAAGCGUUACUCGGAAUUACUGGGCGUAAAGCGUGCGUAGGUGGUUCGUUAAGUCUGAUGUGAAAGCCCUGGGCUCAACCUGGGAAUUGCAUUGGAUACUGGCGGGCUAGAGUGCGGUAGAGGAUGGCGGAAUUCCCGGUGUAGCAGUGAAAUGCGUAGAGAUCGGGAGGAACAUCUGUGGCGAAGGCGGCCAUCUGGACCAGCACUGACACUGAGGCACGAAAGCGUGGGGAGCAAACAGGAUUAGAUACCCUGGUAGUCCACGCCCUAAACGAUGCGAACUGGAUGUUGGGUGCAACUAGGCACUCAGUAUCGAAGCUAACGCGUUAAGUUCGCCGCCUGGGGAGUACGGUCGCAAGACUGAAACUCAAAGGAAUUGACGGGGGCCCGCACAAGC